rnacentral:rRNA from 1 species
AUUGAACGCUGGCGGAAUGCUUUACACAUGCAAGUCGAGCGGCAGCGCGGCCUUCGGGCUGGCGGCGAGCGGCGAACGGGUGAGUAACGCAUCGGAACAUGCCCAGUCGUGGGGGAUAACACUUCGAAAGAAGUGCUAAUACCGCAUACGUCCUGAGGGGGAAAGCGGGGGAUCGCAAGACCUCGCGCGAUUGGAGUGGCCGAUGUCAGAUUAGCUGGUUGGUGGGGUAAAGGCCUACCAAGGCGACGAUCUGUAGCUGGUCUGAGAGGAUGAUCAGCCACACUGGAACUGAGACACGGCCCAGACGCCUACGGGAGGCAGCAGUGGGGAAUUUUGGACAAUGGGGGCAAACCUGAUCCAGCCAUUCCGCGUGAGUGAAGACGGCCUUCGGGUUGUAAAGCUCUUUCGGCAGGAACGAAACGGUGGGCUCUAACAUAGUCCGCUAAUGACGGUACCUGAAGAAGAAGCACCGGCUAACUACGUG